GAUGAACGCUGGCGGCGUGCCUAAUACAUGCAAGUCGAGCGAACAGACGAGGAGCUUGCUCCUCUGACGUUAGCGGCGGACGGGUGAGUAACACGUGGAUAACCUACCUAUAAGACUGGGAUAACUUCGGGAAACCGGAGCUAAUACCGGAUAAUAUAUUGAACCGCAUGGUUCAAUAGUGAAAGACGGUUUUGCUGUCACUUAUAGAUGGAUCCGCGCCGCAUUAGCUAGUUGGUAAGGUAACGGCUUACCAAGGCAACGAUGCGUAGCCGACCUGAGAGGGUGAUCGGCCACACGGGAACUGAGACGCGGUCCAGACGCCUACGGGAGGCAGCAGUAGGGAAUCUUCCGCAAUGGGCGAAAGCAUGACGGAGCAACGCCGCGUGAGUGAUGAAGGUCUUCGGAGCGUAAAGCUCUGUUAUUAGGGAAGAACAAAUGUGUAAGUAACUAUGCACGUCUUGACGGUACCUAAUCAGAAAGCCACGGCUAACUACGUG
rnacentral:rRNA from 1 species